CCUACGGGUGGCAGCAGUGAGGAAUAUUGGUCAAUGGGCGGGAGCCUGAACCAGCCAAGCCGCGUGAGGGAAGAAGGUACAGCGUAUCGUAAACCUCUUUUAUAAGGGAAUAAAGUGUGGGACGUGUCCUAUUUUGUAUGUACCUUAUGAAUAAGGAUCGGCUAACUCCGUGCCAGCAGCCGCGGUAAUACGGAGGAUCCGAGCGUUAUCCGGAUUUAUUGGGUUUAAAGGGUGCGUAGGCGGCCUUUUAAGUCAGCGGUGAAAGUCUGUGGCUCAACCAUAGAAUUGCCGUUGAAACUGGGGGGCUUGAGUAUGUUUGAGGCAGGCGGAAUGCGUGGUGUAGCGGUGAAAUGCUUAGAUAUCACGCAGAACCCCGAUUGCGAAGGCAGCCUGCCAAGCCAUGACUGACGCUGAUGCACGAAAGCGUGGGGAUCAAACAGGAUUAGAUACCCGGGUAGUC
rnacentral:rRNA from 1 species